rfam:Planktomarina temperata RCA23, complete genome.
GGGCACCUACGGGGGCCUAAACACCAGCGGCCCAUAAGGGCUGCACGAAGCAAACGGAAGACAGAAA